AGAAAGGAAGGUGGCCAGGCAGGUCUGAGCAGAGGCAGUUCGAGCAGGAAUACAUACGCCCAACACAAGAAUGCAGCAGCCUUGCAGAGAAGCCGAGAAGAUGUCAACACCCAACUUUGCAUUUGCUUUCAGUCAGUUGAUGCAUAGUUUUAAAAAGAAGACCUCGUAGAGUUGGACUGGACCGUGUGCGGGAAAAUUGUUAUUUGUAAGGUGGCAAGAAUAAAUAUUUAAUUAGA
rnacentral:lncRNA from 1 species